rnacentral:snRNA from 1 species
ACCCGCAGAGUUGAUUUCAUCUCGUAUUAAUCUUUCGCCUUUUACUAAAGAUUACCGUGGAAUCGACUCAACACAUGCGGCUUCACCCAAUUUCUGAACCCCCCUUGCGGGGUA